GCUUAACCGGAGUAGGUCAUUUGAAACUGUAUUUCUUGAGUGCUGGAGAGGCAAUCGGAAUUCCGUGUGUAGCGGUGAAAUGCGUAGAUAUACGGAGGAACACCAGUGGCGAAGGCGGAUUGCUGGACAGUAACUGACGCUGAGGCGCGAAAGCGUGGGGAGCAAAC
rnacentral:rRNA from 1 species